rnacentral:rRNA from 1 species
ACCGCAUAUUCUGUGAGCAGGAAAGCAGGGGACCGCAAGGCCUUGCGCUCUUUGAGCGGCCGAUGUCAGAUUAGCUAGUUGGUGAGGUAAAGGCUUACCAAGGCGACGAUCUGUAGCGGGUCUGAGAGGAUGAUCCGCCACACUGGAACUGAGACACGGUCCAGACUCCUACGGGAGGCAGCAGUGGGGAAUUUUGGACAAUGGGGGCAACCCUGAUCCAGCCAUGCCGCGUGAGUGAAGAAGGCCUUCGGGUUGUAAAGCUCUUUCGGCCGGGAAGAAAUCGCAUGGGCCAAUACCCUGUGUGGAUGACGGUACCGGAAUAAGAAGCACCGGCUAACUACGUGCCAGCAGCCGCGGUAAUACGUAGGGUGCGAGCGUUAAUCGGAAUUACUGGGCGUAAAGCGUGCGCAGGCGUUUUGUAAGACAGGCGUGAAAUCCCCGGGCUUAACCUGGGAACUGCGUUUGUGACUGCAAGGCUAGAGUACGGCAGAGGGGGGUGGAAUUCCACGUGUAGCAGUGAAAUGCGUAGAGAUGUGGAGGAACACCAAUGGCGAAGGCAGCCCCCCGGGUCGAUACUGACGCUCAUGCACGAAAGCGUGGGUAGCAAACAGGAUUAGAUACCCUGGUAGUCCACGCCCUAAACUAUGUCAACUAGGUGUUGGGUGGGUAAAACCAUUUAGUACCGUAGCUAACGCGUGAAGUUGACCGCCUGGGGAGUACGGCCGCAAGGUUAAAACUCAAAGGAAUUGACGGGGACCCGCACAAGCGGUGGAUGAUGUGGAUUAAUUCGAUGCAACGCGAAAAACCUUACCUACCCUUGACAUGCCAGGAACUUGCCAGAGAUGGCUUGGUGCCCGAAAGGGAGCCUGGACACAGGUGCUGCAUGGCUGUCGUCAGCUCGUGUCGUGAGAUGUUGGGUUAAGUCCCGCAACGAGCGCAACCCUUGUCGUUAAUUGCCAUCAUUUGGUUGGGCACUUUAACGAGACUGCCGGUGACAAACCGGAGGAAGGUGGGGAUGACGUCAAGUCCUCAUGGCCCUUAUGGGUAGGGCUUCACACGUCAUACAAUGGCCGGUACAAAGGGUUGCCAAGCCGCGAGGCGGAGCCAAUCCCAGAAAGCCGAUCGUAGUCCGGAUUGCAGGCUGCAACUCGCCUGCAUGAAGUCGGAAUCGCUAGUAAUCGUGGAUCAGCAUGUCACGGUGAAUACGUUCCCGGGUCUUGUACACACCGCCCGUCACACCAUGGGAGCGGGUUCCGCCAGAAGUAGGUAGCCUAACCGCAAGGGGGGCGCUUACCACGGCGGGGUUCGUGACUGGGGUGAAGUCGGAACAAGGUA